GUUUUUUAACUUGACAACUGAAGAAUAAACUCCUAUGGGAGGAGUGGCUUGCAUGGUGAUGAAGCUGGAACAAUUAUUCCUCCAUCAGUGUGAAGAG